AAUCCCCUUCACCUACAACUGAGUUUAGAAAAUUCAUUAAGUUCUGAUGCUGAUGUCACUGUCUCAAUCCUGACCAUGAACAACUGGUACAAUUUUAGCUUGUUGCUGUGCCAGGAAGACUGGAACAUCACCGACUUCCUCCUCCUUACCCAGAAUAAUUCCAAGUUCCACCUUGGUUCUAUCAUCAACAUCACCGCUAACCUCCCCUCCACCCAGGACCUCUUGAGCUUCCUACAGAUCCAGCUUGAGAGUAUUAAGAACAGCACACCCACAGUGGUGAUGUUUGGCUGCGACAUGGAAAGUAUCCGGCGGAUUUUCGAAAUUACAACCCAGUUUGGGGUCAUGCCCCCUGAACUUCGUUGGGUGCUGGGAGAUUCCCAGAAUGUGGAGGAACUGAGGACAGAGGGUCUGCCCUUAGGGCUCAUUGCUCAUGGAAAAACAACACAGUCUGUCUUUGAGCACUACGUACAAGAUGCUAUGGAGCUGGUCGCAAGAGCUGUAGCCACAGCCACCAUGAUCCAACCAGAACUUGCUCUCAUUCCCAGCACGAUGAACUGCAUGGAGGUGGAAACUACAAAUCUCACUUCAGGACAAUAUUUAUCAAGGUUUCUAGCCAAUACCACUUUCAGAGGCCUCAGUGGUUCCAUCAGAGUAAAAGGUUCCACCAUCGUCAGCUCAGAAAACAACUUUUUCAUCUGGAAUCUUCAACAUGACCCCAUGGGAAAGCCAAUGUGGACCCGCUUGGGCAGCUGGCAGGGGGGAAAGAUUGUCAUGGACUAUGGAAUAUGGCCAGAGCAGGCCCAGAGACACAAAACCCACUUCCAACAUCCAAGUAAGCUACACUUGAGAGUGGUUACCCUGAUUGAGCAUCCUUUUGUCUUCACAAGGGAGGUAGAUGAUGAAGGCUUGUGCCCUGCUGGCCAACUCUGUCUAGACCCCAUGACUAAUGACUCUUCCACAUUGGACAGCCUUUUUAGCAGCCUCCAUAGCAGUAAUGAUACAGUGCCCAUUAAAUUCAAGAAGUGCUGCUAUGGAUAUUGCAUUGAUCUGCUGGAAAAGAUAGCAGAAGACAUGAACUUUGACUUCGACCUCUAUAUUGUAGGGGAUGGAAAGUAUGGAGCAUGGAAAAAUGGGCACUGGACUGGGCUAGUGGGUGAUCUCCUGAGAGGGACUGCCCACAUGGCAGUCACUUCCUUUAGCAUCAAUACUGCACGGAGCCAGGUGAUAGAUUUCACCAGCCCUUUCUUCUCCACCAGCUUGGGCAUCUUAGUGAGGACCCGAGAUACAGCAGCUCCCAUUGGAGCCUUCAUGUGGCCACUCCACUGGACAAUGUGGCUGGGGAUUUUUGUGGCUCUGCACAUCACUGCCGUCUUCCUCACUCUGUAUGAAUGGAAGAGUCCAUUUGGUUUGACUCCCAAGGGGCGAAAUAGAAGUAAAGUCUUCUCCUUUUCUUCAGCCUUGAACAUCUGUUAUGCCCUCUUGUUUGGCAGAACAGUGGCCAUCAAACCUCCAAAAUGUUGGACUGGAAGGUUUCUAAUGAACCUUUGGGCCAUUUUCUGUAUGUUUUGCCUUUCCACAUACACGGCAAACUUGGCUGCUGUCAUGGUAGGUGAGAAGAUCUAUGAAGAGCUUUCUGGAAUACAUGACCCCAAG
rnacentral:circRNA from 1 species